rnacentral:rRNA from 1 species
GACGAACGCUGGCGGCGUGCUUAACACAUGCAAGUCGAACGGAAAGGCCCUGCCUUUGUGGGGUGCUCGAGUGGCGAACGGGUGAGUAACACGUGGGUAACCUGCCCUUGACUUUGGGAUAACUUCAGGAAACUGGGGCUAAUACCGGAUAGGAGCUCCUGCUGCAUGGUGGGGGUUGGAAAGUUUCGGCGGUUGGGGAUGGACUCGCGGCUUAUCAGCUUGUUGGUGGGGUAGUGGCUUACCAAGGCUUUGACGGGUAGCCGGCCUGAGAGGGUGACCGGCCACAUUGGGACUGAGAUACGGCCCAGACUCCUACGGGAGGCAGCAGUGGGGAAUAUUGCACAAUGGGCGGAAGCCUGAUGCAGCAACGCAGCGUGCGGGAUGACGGCCUUCGGGUUGUAAACCGCUUUCGCCUGUGACGAAGCGUGAGUGACGGUAAUGGGUAAAGAAGCACCGGCUAACUACGUG